GAUGAACGCUGGCGGCGUGCCUAAUACAUGCAAGUCGAGCGAACGGACGAGAAGCUUGCUUCUCUGAUGUUAGCGGCGGACGGGUGAGUAACACGUGGAUAACCUACCUAUAAGACUGGGAUAACUUCGGGAAACCGGAGCUAAUACCGGAUAAUAUUUUGAACCGCAUGGUUCAAAAGUGAAAGACGGUCUUGCUGUCACUUAUAGAUGGAUCCGCGCUGCAUUAGCUAGUUGGUAAGGUAACGGCUUACCAAGGCAACGAUGCAUAGCCGACCUGAGAGGGGGGUCCGCCAACACUGAACCUGGGCACGGGCCCGACUCCUAAGGGAGGCAGCAGUAGGGAAUCUUCCGCAAUGGGCGAAAGCCUGACGGAGCAACGCCGCGUGAGUGAUGAAGGUCUUCGGAUCGUAAAACUCUGUUAUUAGGGAAGAACAUAUGUGUAAGUAACUGUGCACAUCUUGACGGUACCUAAUCAGAAAGCCACGGCUAACUACGUG
rnacentral:rRNA from 1 species